UACGGAGGGGGCUAGCGUUGUUCGGAAUUACUGGGCGUAAAGGGCGCGUAGGCGGACAUUUAAGUCAGGGGUGAAAUCCCAGAGCUCAACUCUGGAACUGCCUUUGAUACUGGGAGUCUUGAGUUCGGGAGAGGUGAGUGGAACUGCGAGUGUAGAGGUGAAAUUCGUAGAUAUUCGCAAGAACACCAGUGGCGAAGGCGGCUCACUGGCCCGAUACUGACGCUGAGGUGCGAAAGCGUGGGGAGCAAACAGG
rnacentral:rRNA from 1 species